rnacentral:rRNA from 1 species
GAUGAACGCUGGCGGCGUGCCUAAUACAUGCAAGUCGAGCGAACAGACGAGAGUGCUUGCACUCUCUGACGUUAGCGGCGGACGGGUGAGUAACACGUGGGUAACCUACCUAUAAGACUGGGAUAACUUCGGGAAACCGGAGCUAAUACCGGAUAAUAUUUAGCUUCGCAUGAAGCAAUAGUGAAAGACGGUUCUGCUGUCACUUAUAGAUGGACCCGCGGUGUAUUAGCUAGUUGGUGAGGUAACGGCUCACCAAGGCAACGAUACAUAGCCGACCUGAGAGGGUGAUCGGCCACACUGGGACUGAGACACGGCCCAGACUCCUACGGGAGGCAGCAGUAGGGAAUCUUCCGCAAUGGACGAAAGGCUGACGGAGCAAUGCCGCGUGAGUGAAGAAGGUUUUCGGAUCGUAAAACCCUGUUGUAAGGGAAGAACAAGUACGUUAGUAACUGAACGUACCUUGACGGUACCUUACCAGAAAGCCACGGCUAACUACGUG